ensembl:lncRNA
CAGUGUGCUGCCUCAGUUCCUCCAGGGUGAUCCGUGUCUACAGAGCUGAAGACAAGACAGUGUGAGGGCAACUCUAAUUUAGGCCAGCAAAAUGUGUGGCUCACACUGCCCUGAUGAACCCUAGUGAGUUCUGCUCCCCAGGCCUGCACAUUCAUCCAGUUCAUCCAUGUGCCACCCAGUCACAGAGUCUACUUCAGAAAACGCCUUUCCCCUGGAGAACCUGGUUUCAGUAUGGAGAACAAAUUGGCAGCUGACUCGUUUGGGGACAUAGGAGUGAGAACUGAGACCAAACUAUGGUGGAGGUGAUGAAGAUGAUGGCAACCUCCUUUAAAAGGUCCCGUGCACACGCUGCUGCACUCGGUGCCCAGACUCUGCAGCAGGCCACCACCAACCCACGCCUCUGCCCGAGACUCCUGGACACGCACAGUGUGAGGACACAGCAGAAAAACAGGCAUCUGUGAAGCAGAAGAGGAACUUCACCAGAUAACAAAUCUGCUGGCACCUUUAUCUUGGACCCUCCAGCCUCCAGAACUGUGAGAAAUAAAUGUCUGUCUAUAAGCC